CCUACGGGAGGCAGCAGUAAGGAAUCUUCCACAAUGGACGAAAGUCUGAUGGAGCAACGCCGCGUGCAGGAUGAAGGCUUUCGGGUCGUAAACUGCUUUUAUAUGGGAAGAUUAUGACGGUACCAUAUGAAUAAGGACCGGCUAACUACGUGCCAGCAGCCGCGGUAAUACGUAGGGUCCAAGCGAUAUCCGGAAUUACUGGGCGUAAAGCGUGUGUAGGUGGAUUAAUAAGUGUGAUGCGAAAUCCGGCGGCUCAACCGUUUGGACUGUGUCGCAUACUGUUAGUCUAGAGGACGGCAGAGGUAAGUGGAAUUACGGGUGUAGCAGUGAAAUGCGUAGAUAUCCGUAGGAACACCAAUGGCGAAGGCAGCUUACUGGGCCACACCUGACACUGAGACACGAAAGCGUGGGGAGCGAACAGGAUUAGAUACCCUGGUAGUCCACGCCGUAAACGAUGCAUACUAUUAGUAUGGGGUAUCGACCCCCUGUGCUGAGAAGCUAACGCGAUAAGUAUGCCGCCUGGGGAGUACGAGCGCAAGCUUAAAACUUAAAGGAAUUGACCGGNNGAGACGNGCGAGACGACGACGAGGGAGAG
rnacentral:rRNA from 1 species